GGGGUCCUGACCUUUUCGCCCAGAAGACUGCUAUGAGGAUGGAGGUGGGGAUGGAGGCAUAGGGAAGGGCGUCAGGACUGUUUCUGAACACUGCUGCUUCCAUGCCGGCUUUCUGGAGGCACCAGAAUCCUCACUUUUGGAGCUUGGGAAAGCAGGGGUCAGGAAGGCAGUUUCCACUAGUGUCCUCCAUUCCUGUUGUAAAUGUCAGCUGCCGGCUGAACUUUACAGCUCCUGCAAUCUAAGAAUUUUUCUGCUGUGCUUCCUGCAUAUGGUCUUACCCACUACAAUUAUCUGGAACUUGCCGACAGUGAAGAAACCUCUCACAGCAUGGACUGCUGAAAUGGUGUUCUGUGACCUGAAGGCUGUUGAAUAUACGGAGUGUUUUGCGUUCACAAAGAAAAACUUAAAGGAUUCCUUUGACAAAGCACUAUUGACUGCCUCGGAGACUCUGGAACUGAAGGGCCAGCUUUAAGAAAAGAAACUUCCAUCCUGCUACAGCUGACUGCUUCUGCUCUGCCCUGAACUCCCUGAAGAAAGGACAUGGUCUCUAGGCAAUGUUGUAAUCCCUGAAGUACCUGUGUUAAGCUUGGUCUUUGUUUCUCUAAAAAGUCUCUGAAUUCAGCUGAUAGAGUUUGGGCCAAACCAAUGAGUGAAGGCUCUGAGCCAAUUUAAUGUACCAUUGUCAAAAUGUAUAAUUUAAAUGAUGUUACUUUUUUUGUACUACGAAUGCUUAUAAAGUGUUAGAGAAAACACUUUGAUGUCCAAAGGGUUCCCUGUGUAAAUAAUGUCUCUUGGUUGACAAAUGAAAAAAUUCUUUUCUUGACGGUUUUAUUGCAAAGUUAGCAGAUGCUUGCGAGCAGUUGUGACUAAUAAACACUGACAAAAUUUAG
rnacentral:lncRNA from 9 species